ensembl:lncRNA
CUAUGUUACUGUUCCCACCAGGUUACUGUUCCCACUAGGUUACUGUUCCCACCAGGUUACUGUUCCCACUAUGUUACUGUUCCCACUAUGGUACUGUUCCCACCAGGUUACUGUUCCCACUAUGGUACUGUUCCCACCAGAUUACUGUUCCCACUAUGUUACUGUUCCCACCAGGUUACUGUUCCCACCAUGUUACUGUUCCCACCAGGUUACUGUUCCCACUAUGUUACUGUUCCCACCAGGUUACUGUUCCCACUAUGUUACUGUUCCCACUAUGUUACUGUUCCCACUAUGUUACUGUUCCCACCAGGUUACUGUUCCCACCAGGUUACUGUUCCCACUAUGUUACUGUUCCCACUAUGUUACUGUUCCCACCAGGUUACUGUUCCCACUAUGUUACUGUUCCCACUAUGGUACUGUUCCCACCAGGUUACUGUUCCCACCAGGUUACUGUUCCCACUAUGUUACUGUUCCCACCAGGUUACUGUUCCCACUAUGUUACUGUUCUCACCAGGUUACUGUUCCUACUAUGUUACUGUUCCCACUAUGUUACUGUUCUCACCAGAUUACUGUUCCCAC